rnacentral:lncRNA from 1 species
AGCUGAGGCAAAUCUCAACAGGCUGCCAAACAGUUGUAAUUCAACAGCACUGACUCCUGCUGUUGGAAUGGAGGACCAUGCUGAAUGAUGAGAAAGCUGGCGCAUCUUGGCAAACUUCCCAGGCAUCCGCCCUGGGCGAGCUGAGGGGCAUGUAUCAUACUUUCAGAGGGAUGGUGCAGAAGGGAAACUGCAGAGCAUGGAGAAGUGGCACCCAUCCGGACCAUAACUCCCUGUAGUCAAAGAGGUACUUAUCCUUCCUGAGGAAGAAAUUGUGAAAUUCCCAGGCCAUACUUAGCACGGAGGGUCUGAAUGAGUGGCACUGUCCUGUCCUUAAGACUGGAAUUAGGCCCAAGUAGGUAGGAACAAGGAAUUUCCAUUUGUCACUUCUUCCAAAUUUCUCAAGGCAACCAGCUAUGGCCCUAGGUGCUACUGACAGAACUGAAAGCACGAUAGUGUUUCUUCCUAAGGAAAGGACCCAGUGGAGUGAUCUGUACAAAUUAUGCAGGUGCCUCACAAAAGCCAGGGUACACAUCCUGCACUUUAAGAGGUGUUAGGAGAAAAAACCUUUUGAAGCUUACUUGUCUAUGGAAAAAAGGACAUUCGGGGAAGCCAUGGAGAUGUAAGUCACAGGAAGAAAGAUAUCUAAUGAAUCACAGAGCAUUAAGAUGCCACCACAAGUAGCCAGCAUCACUCAGGUCACACAGCACUCCAGAUGUAGGAGCAAGUGUCAUUCUCCAGACAGCACCAGGGGAGUGGGGCAGCAGACAGCAGCACCACCAUUACCUCAAGCCAAAGCUCAGUCAUGGGAUGCUUGAGCCUUCGAUGAAUUCUCAAGACCACAGUCAGACUACGGACCAGCUCUGAAGUGAUUAACAGUUCUUCUUAAAACUGCCUUAUCAUCAUAUCAACUCAGGCAGCCAAAAAAUGUCAGCCUUGGCUCGAAAGCAUUUGUCAAGUGAGAGCCUCCGAGUUCAUCAGGAAAGCCAGCAUGACAAACUCCUCCACAAAAACCAGCAGCUUCCCAACUGCUUCACAACAGCUUCCAACAGCUUCUACCAGCUCCCAACAUCCUCUGAACUUCUUUUUCUCCAGUUCUGCCUCUUAUGCUGCUGGCAACAACCCCCAGGUGGGCCUCCCACACCCGGCACCAUGCUGGUUCAGUUCAGCUGGGGGUUACAAGUUGACCACCAGUUGUCAAUCCACCACAUUUACUCUCUUGUUU